UUUCUUGGGCCACUCCCGCGGCAUAAGGAGGUUCCCAGGCUAGGGAUCGAAUCGGAGCUGUAGCUGCCGGCCUACGCCAGAGCCACAGCAACGCAGGAUCCAAGCCACGUCUGCAACCUGCACCACAGCUCACAGCAACGCUGGAUCCUUAACCCACUGAGCAAGGCCAGGGAUCAAACCUGAAACCUCAUGGUUCCUAGUCGUAUUCGUUAACCACUGAGCCACGACGGGAACUCCUGUUUGUUUGAUUUUAAGCUGGUGGAAGGCCAGGCUCAUGGUUGACUCUCCAGCAGCACUUCACUGUUCAUGUAUAACAUGGACUUGAUAAAUGUUGUGGAAUGAAGUGAAACUGCCUACCUCGGGAUCGGAACCCUAUCCCACAAACAGUACUUUUGGUAACUCAUCCUGUUUCCAAAGAGACCUACUGUUCCUUGGGAUGCCAGGCACAGAGGGUCUGGUCCUGGUGCUGGAAGAGGUCACCCUCUAGUGGGAGGACAGUGUCUUUCUGCUGCCAGUUACAUGGAGAUAAUGAGUUGCAAAUGUUGAAUUGGCUUUUGGAGUUCACAGCCUGCCACUUUGAACCACGACCAGCAUGGAAAGUGAUUGGGCAAGCUUGUGACUCCUGGUGCCUUUGUCUAUUAAAGCACUUUAUAUAGCGAUGACUUAUCUGCUUCUUUGCCUAAGCUCCUAAUUAAAGCUGUUUUCAACCCAAUAAAGAGCCUCACCCCACCUAAUAGAGUUGGGCAACUCCUUGGUGGCCUCUGCCUUUGUCCUCUUAGGCUCCAUGGUCUGGGUUAAGAUCCUACACCUUCAGCAGGGCCACCCUCUGAAACAUUUAAUGAGGAGAAGAAUAUUGUUUCUUGGAGAUGUAAUUGCAAGAGAGAGUGCAACCUUCUCUGAGAUAACAAGCAUUUUGAGAUGCAAUGCUUUGGGGAAGAUUUAGCCCAGGUCAACGACUGCCCUAGCUGUCAUGAUUCCUCUUAAUGAUGCCGUGCUUCCGUUUGGCAGAAAGACUCUGGGGUCUCUUUCUAAAGUUCAUUAAACUUUUGUCUGAGAGACUUGUACUUGGGACUUGUGGUUCUGUGUCUUUUCUUACAGCUUUUCAGGCUGUUACUACAGUUUGCUGAUUGUGGCUGUGGGCACAACUGUGAAAUAGGUACCUUGCCCUUUGAAGCCCCCAGCACUGCCAGACCAUAUAGACUCAAUGCUGCGGGUACAAAAGCCUGUGCUUUUUAUUAGGGUUCCUGAAGACUGGAAACUGGGUGCAGAACCGCUGCUGAGAGACACACUUGAGGACUCAUAGUUUUUCUAUCUUCUCAGGAGCCCAACCUGUCUUUCUCAAAAGUUACAUGUGAAAGAUUUUUAUUUGGCACUUAGCUUUAAUGUACAUAGGAAGCCAUCUACUUGAAGUAACUCUUCAGAAAACCACUUUGUGAAGUGGUUACAACUUUGGUAAUUUGAAAAACGUCUCCCUAAUUUAUCUGUCUUAAAAAUUUCAACUUUUUAACAUCACACUGUCAUCUUUCAAGGCGUAGCUGUGUUUUUUUCUUUUGCUUUUCUUCCCACUGCCUCCCUUUUAUUUCCUGGGAAGGGAAUUGAUUUCCUUCACAUGCGAUAGAGGGUUUUUCUUUCCCUCGUUGCCUGUGUCUUUGUUUCACUGUGUCAGAAUCUUUCAUUUGUAAGGAAACAGAGGGAGAACCUUAAACUUGGAGUGAGAGAGCCUAGCGAUCCCAUCCAGCUUUUUCCUAAGUUAAUGUGAGCUUUAGACAAGCUAGGUAACCUCCCUGAGCCUUAGUUUAUUCACCUAUAAAAUGGGUAUAAAAAAUCCCUCUAUCAUUUUGUUGCCACAAGAUUAAUUUUAAUAAUACUAUGUGUAUAAAGCACUUGGUACCUGACACAAUGUAGGUAAGGUCUGAUUUGGGAGCUCUCCUCCCAAUGAAAAUGUGACCUCUUGCCAAUGACCUCUUGCCAAAAUACUUUGUGAUAUUUGUUCUCACCCCUCCCUGCCCCCCAUGGGGGGGAAAUACUGUGCUUGUUAUAUCACCAACCACAAAAUGUGAAGUGGUUACAACUUUGGUAAUUUGAAAAAUGUUUCCCAUCCCUGUUUCCUUCUGCACUGUCCAGGAUGUGUUUCUCUAUACAAAUAUAUCUAGGGCCACUAAAACAAACCAGAAAUACCCACCCUCAGUGGUCCAUAAGCAAAGAUAACCCAAGCCAAACACGUGGGUGUGGCUCUUUAACAAUGUGGUGGGGGGAAGGGUCACUGCGACAUCUCUCGGCCCCACUCCCAUUUCUGAGUUUUUCAUACCUCAACUGUUUCCUCUUCAUACACAAGAUGGGCUUUUUUUUUUUUAUAGACACGACUCCUAGUCAAGCAGUCCAGGCCCCUUAGACUCAGAGAAGCCCCUUCUGUCUCCUCCCCCACCACGUGUCCCAAGGGGAGAGUGGUCUCAGAUGGGACCUUUGUGCAAAAUGUUGCUUGAGAGGCUGGAAAAUCAAACUCCUGCAUGCCAGGCUGAUCCCCCUCCUGGCCUCCUAGCCUUGCUUUUCCCUCCUGUUCCAUGUUCAAACACAGUUGCCUCCACCAACCUAGGCUGUCCUGACAGACCCCCACCCUUCCUGGCCCCUAGAUCUUUUGUUCUUCUGUCCCAGCCACUGCCCCCUCCCCCACCCCAGUACACUCAGCUUCACUGCUGCUUAAAUGUCAUUUUUGAAACAACAGAAGGACAUGCUGUUUUUUUGCGGCAUCUUGGGGGAAAAAAAUUUUUUUUUGAUCCAUUUGGUGUUAAGAGCACGCACAAGAAAUGUAUUCAGGGACCCUCGCCAGCCUCUUUCACUGGUGUGGUUCACAUUUUGUGGUUGGUGAUCUAACAAGCACAGUAUUUCCCGCCCAGAAAUGUCCGGUCUCCUAUCAUCUGCAUCCGUCUUCCUUAGAUUUCUUUGUCUUCCAGGUAAUUCUGUAUUCAAAGCACCACAGUUCCGGAUUUAUUUCCAAGCUGGGGAAUCCAUCCUGAUAAAGCCCCUUCUCAGGGAUUUGAACCAGUUCUCCGGAGAAACUGGGAACAUGGCCAAGUCCAGCUUAAUUCUCUGGGCCACAAUGGAGGGAGAGGCUUGAGAGCCUUUGUCCCCCCCACACCUCCCAUUGACCCACGUGGCCAAUGUAAAGCAUUAGAGGAAUCUAUCAGUCUCUUGUGUCAGGACCUCUCUUCCAGAAGGGAACAGUAUGUCUCCUCAGGAAACUAGGAACUCCAAAUCCCUUGGUUCUUUAUCUCUCUGUCCUCCAGGCCCUCCCACAACUGUGAUGAUGUACAUUCACUCCUUAUUAAUCCCCUUAGAUGGAAAGUUCUUGAGGGCAGGAUCCGCGUCUGACGCAUCUUCUUGUCCCCCGGUGCCUAGAGCUUGCAGGUGGUCCAUGGCUGCUGACAGCAAGAACACACACCCUCAUCCAUUCAAGUUUGUGUGAGAGGGGAGGCAGGGAGCAGUGCCCACCAGCCCCAGACCUCUUCCUGGCGAUGCUCUGCUGGAGAAAUGGUACACACGGGCUCAUAGCAGUAUUUUCAUUUUAAAACCCAGAGACCCUUUGCUCAUUACUGAAGGUCCAGAUGAGUAAUUAAGUUAUAAAUUGGAAUUUUAAUGAGCUGGCGUUCUGGCCAAAACACCUGCUUGCAGUCUGGUGACCAGAUUAUCCCCGCCCCCUUUGAGUGAUUCACAGUUGCUGAGACUGGUGCUCUGGAGUUAGUAGUUGUCAUCCAUAGACACCCAAAGCAGGAUCUUUGCUGCCUUUCAGGGUCAUCAAAGCAAGCUCCUCUGCCUGCCCCAGGGGAGCCUUAGUGCAAGAGUGGUUUGAGGGUUACUGUCAAGUCUCAGGAUCUUACCUGGCGGACCUCAUCCGGGUUCCUCGGCUGGGGUGGCCUGUCCACUGUAGGCACCCGGAACCCCACAAGAGAAUUGUGGGCCACUUAACAGAUACUUCCCUGCUUACCUUCCAGCCAUUGUACAAAUUCAGAGGAAAUGAGAAAUAGUUCCGUUCACACAUUAAACCCCCCCCCCCGGCCCCGCCCAAUAGUUCUUGUUCUAAUACCUUGUGUUGACAUUCCACUGGACUGGACUUUUGACAGUUUGAGGUUUGCAGCCUGAGGGGCCUUCUUGAAAAGUGCCCUGUGUCUUCCCUGACUUCGAAUAGACCUUUGUUGGUGGGGGACUCUGGGCAGAGUUCAGAGCCUCUGAGGACAGGCACCCAGGACACAAUCCAUACCACCUAGAAUCUAAUCCAAGUGCCCUGUAGACCCUCCAUCCCUCCGACUUUGUUUGGGGAAGUUCCCUGGAUGUAGAAACCUUGUGUUGUCCAUUUAGCGUGUGGGUCUUUCCUAACUGUGCAUCCUAGUCCUUCCUUCGCGGAACAUCAUUCAUCGAGCCUGUCUUAAAACUCAGCUUAGAGGCGGGCUGCUUAUGUAACAUUGCUCUUGGCACCUCUGUGAAGGAACAUGUUUGAGCUUCUCUUUAUCUGCUUUUCCCUCACCUUUGAAUUCCUCAUGGAGGCUGAGCUUUGCCAAACAGACAGCAGUGGAGCAAAAUUAGAAGCUUCUCGCUGGGCCGGCUUCUAAGGACCUUCCUGGUUUUCUAAGAAGCAACC
rnacentral:lncRNA from 1 species